ensembl:lncRNA
AAACAGAGCCCCACCUGUGCUUUGCUCUGUGAUCAGAAGAGGGUGUGCCUGACUAGCCAGAAGAUCUGUGACGGAAAACCAGACUGUAGAGACGGUUCAGAUGAGAAAAACUGCUGUAAGUCCACAAUUUACACCAUGCAUGCAUUUUAAAACAUCUUUAGUGUUUUGCAUGAUAAACUCAUGUAUGAUUGAGAGUUGGAUGAUUUAAAAUUUUUGGUGAACUAUUUGUUUAAUUGCAACUUUGUCAGUCAAGUCUUUCCCAUUGAUUUUCAUAUGUCAGACACUGGUAUUAUGGAUGCAAGUGCUUCGUUGCCUCUGAAAUGUCCCCUGGGAUCCAAACCUUGUAGGGAUAGGAAAGAGUGUGUCCUGUACAGCUAUGUGUGUCACAAAGACUGCAAAGACAGAUCUGAUGAGAGGAACUGUGAGCGUAAAUGUAAAAAAGGAAAUGAACUGAUCAGCUCUAUUAAUAUAGAUGGCUGUAAUUAUAAGGAGUUCCGCACCGGAUCUGCCUUCAUGGUGUCUGUUGCCUGUGUUGAGAACAUCUACUUCAGGGUCACACUGGACAAAGGUAACAAUCAAACCUCCACAAAUCUAGUUUCCAUUAAAUGCAGUUCUGUGUAGAACCACUAGAUGGCAUGAAGUCAUCGACAUCCAUCGACAUAUUCUUAAAGAAAGUACAGUUCUUUCAAGAGUCCUAGUGACUCUCAAAUGAAACUUGGACAGUAGUUUAUACAUUGAACAAUUAGAACUACAAUUAAUCAGUUGACAACUCUUGAUAAAACAUCUUGAUUAAAUAUGAAUAUUAUUAUAAAUGGGUUUUAUGAUAUGCAGCUCUUUGCUCUUGAAACAGGUACAGCUAAAGUGUGGUGCAGGGGUGGCUUCCAGCCCAAACACAUGUGUUUUGAGGUGAAGGCAAACAUCAUAGAACUGAAGGCUUACAGCAGGUCCAGUCAGAAAGGUACUUCCCUGCUGCUUUUGUCCGUGGGAGCGCGCGUGAGGUGUAUUGAGGAGUCUUUGUGUGUGUGUGUGUGUGUGUGUGUGUGUGUGUGUGUGUGUGUGGAGGGAGCUUGGCUGCACAAAAGACACACACCUUAGAGUUCUUUUACUUUCCCACACCCCUCACUGAAAAACCCGUCCAGCACAGACUCACUCACCUCUCUUCAGCUCGACUCUGUUCUGUAUAAUACCAUGCUAUUCUUUGUUUUGGCACAGUAUGUAGUAUGUUGUAUAUGGUGUAUGAAUUUCCUGUAUAUUUGAAACGCCCAGAUCACCUAAUACAUUAAAUGAUCACCUAAUACAACAAAGUACACUGCACUUGUUGUAUCCCACAAUGUGUUCGAUUUGGUCUUACAUUUCCAGUCUGAUGAACAAACCAUCAUGAAUUACAGUGAUUAGUGAUUAAACAGUUGAAUUAAACUAUUUCAAUGUUAAUGUGAUU